GCGUUACCUCCAGAAACCGCACUUUUCGCCACCCAAUUUUUGGCAACAAAGGAUUUGCGUGAUUUAUUAAAAAAUGAUAUUUUACAAUAAAUAUUAGGAUGGGCUACAAAGUAUGAAGUUUCAAUAGCCUCCGUUAUAAUUUAAAUAAAUAUUUUAAAACAUUGAACUCAUGUUUAAUGACUAUAUGUCAAUUAUUGGUUAAAAAUGUCGGUGUCUCUAUGAAUGCUACUAUUUAUUAAAAAGACAACAGCUCAAUUUGUAUGUUAAUGAGUUUGAACUCCAUUGGUGGGAUGGUGUAUGGGUAACUUCUGUUUGUGGAUACAUGAUGAUGCCUGUAGUGUUAUAAUUUGUUGGCAAUUUAGUGCAUGAAUACAGUAGUAGGAAGUCAGGUGACCUUGACAAGCAAGGCUGUAGGAAAAGCUUAUUCAACCAAGCCGGUUUAACUUGAAGCUGGAUAAUCGACGAAUUCACCCUUCGUCAACGAUGUUCGUAUACGUAUACGCAGUGUAUAUACAUCGCACAUGUUAUACCCAGUUUGUGGUGUAGCUUUGUUCAUAUGUUGUCUGGGCUGGUAUGUGGUUAGGUUUCCUGGGUUGGGCUAGAAAUUCUGUCGCAGUAGAGACUUCAGUAGUCUUCAGUAGCCAUGAUAAGCAACGCGGUAGGAAAGGCAGAUAAGUUUAAAACCGUUCUGUCACUUAUAGGCAGCAACGAUUUUGCCACGUUUUGCUGACGACGAAGAAAAGCAGUGAGCUCUAUAUACACCUGGAGCGAGGACUCGAGUGAAAAAAAGUGAAGCUAAGAUGGCGGAAAUAGGCGCCAGUCCCUUUUUUGUCUGCGCGGUUAAUACAAAGCUGCAGGGAUAGUUCGUGUUUUUACUUCGAUUUAAAGAAUAAUGCCAUGGUUUUAUGAAUUGAUAACUUGAUUGGCGAUGCGGUCCGUUAGAAAAACUGGAAUUAGCUGGGAAAGUGGUACACUGUGUGUUAUGGCACAGAUUGUGGACGUCAAUUCCGCGGCCAUCUUUGCUUCACUUUUCUUACGGGUGGAGUAACUGAAUUUCUUGCGCCAGAUAUAGAGCUGACUGGAAAAAGUCUCCUCGCGCGUAAUAAUUCGCUGUUAUAGGCUACGUUUCCAGUUAAACAUAUAUAUUCUUAAUACCUACGUAGACGCACGGAAACGUUUAAAGCCAUUUAAAUCUUAAUAAUGAAAUUCACAUAAGAACAGCAUGUAGGACGCUUUCCAUUAACACGUCGAGACCUGUCACAACGCUCAUUUUUAGUGUGAAGUUUCACUUCACACUAUUGUGAUGGCUGGCGAAUUCACACGAAUCAGUCAGUCAGUCAGUCAGUCAGUCAGUCAGUCAGUCAGUCAGUCAGUCAGUCAGUCAGUCAGUCAUAGAGUAAACUUUCCGGG